rnacentral:lncRNA from 1 species
GGGGUGCCCAUUUGGGGUGUAAGGUGGAUAAUGCACAUUUGGGGUGUAAGGUGUGUAAUGGUGAACUUUGGGAUGUAAAGUGUGUAAUGGCUGCACAUUUGGGGGUGUAAGGUGGAUAACGGUGCACAUUUGGGGUGUAGGGUUUGUAACGGUGCAUAUUGGGGUGCAAGGUGUGUAAUGGGGUGCACAUUUGGGAUGUAAGGUGUGUAACGGUGCACAUUGGAGUGUAAGGUGUGUAAUGGGGUGCACAUUUGGGGUGUGAGGUACCAGAUGUGUAAUGGGGUGCAUAUUUGUGUGUAAGGUAUGUAUUAGGGGUGUGCAUUUGGGGUGUAAGGUGUGUAAUGGGUGCACAUUUGGGGUGUAAGGUGUGUAAUGGGGUGCACAUUUGAGGUACCAGCUGUGUAAUGGGGUGCAUAUUUGGGUAUAAGGUAUGUAUUAGGGGUGCACAUAUGGGGUGUAAGGUGUGUAAUGGGGUGCACAUUUGGGGUGUAAAGCGUGUAUAUGGGGUGCCCAUUUGGGGUGUAAGGUGUGUACUGGGAUGCACAUUUGGGGUGUAAGGUGUGUAAUGGGGUGCACAUUUGAGGUACCAGGUGUAUAAUGGGGUGCACAUUUGGGGUGUAAGGUAUGUAUUAGGGGUGCACAUUUGGGUUGUAAGGUGUGUAAUGGGGUGCACAUUUGGGGUGCAGGGCACGUAUUAGCCAUCAAUACCUGUGAGGGGAAGGAGUGAGAGCAGGAAGUCCAA